rnacentral:misc_RNA from 1 species
ACAAAUCAGUUGUAGGACCGAAAGGUUCUAUAUACACCCCAAGCCUGUGAUGAGCUGUGGCUCGGAUCGGCUUUGGUUGCAGCCUUUGGGCUGUAGGUCGGGCAGUCGCAAGACGGCCAGGCCACAUAGACGCUUGUAUGUUUGACAGAGUUUAGUUGCAUCUAAAAAAUA